GACAGAGGCCACGAGCGUUAGGCGGAAUCACUGGGCUUAAAGCGUGUGUAGGCGGAGGCGUAAGUGUCUUGUGAAAUCCCACGGCUCAACCGUGGAACUGCUGGGCAUACUGCGUCUCUUGAGCCGGCCAGGGGUCACCGGAACAAGCGGUGGAGCGGUGAAAUGCGUAGAUAUCGCUUGGAACGCCGACGGUGAAAACAGGUGACUGGGGCCGCGCUGACGCUGAGACACGAAAGCCAGGGGAGCGAACGGG
rnacentral:rRNA from 1 species